AACAGGCAGACAGGAUGAAAACAACUAGUAAGAGAAGGAAGGUGUGUAACUGUUACAUAUAUCUUGAUAUCUGAAUUUCCGCCUGAUCAGAUGACUGAUGUCACUUCUGGUAUUUGUUAUGUUGAGAUCUGUUUUUAUUGUUCACUCCUGUGUGUCAUAAGUUUGCAGAGCAGCUCAUCAGAAUAAUGUCGUUUCCUGGUAUAAUGUUUAUCUCCAUAACAGCUUUCUGGAACAGGAGGGUUUGAAGUCAAAUAUACUGAAAUGACCUUGUCAUGCAAGUCUAAGAAAGAGAGAGAUGAAUAAAAGAGAGAACCAGAGGGAGAAAUAGAAAGAGAGAUUGUCUGCAGCCAAAAGAUAGAUUUCUGCUGAAACGAGAGAGAUGGUGCCUGUGGAAAGAAGGUGGAGGCUGAAGAAGCGCAUGCUGUUGUGCACGGAGCCCGGGGGUCGCAGCGAAAGACAGAGACAGGAUGAGAGAGCGCGACGGAGAGAUUUCUACAACACCGUCAAGAUGUAGUCUUUCAUUAUGAGUCAUCUCUGACUCUUUACGAACUAUCCCGUCACACUUCUGGUCCCCUGCUCAGUCUCCACUCAGAGGGUCCCAGGGCACAUCUUGUCUCACCUUCUCGUCCACGGUAAAAAACUCUUUCAACCCGUAGCUGUCCGUCUAACUUGUGUUAAAGCUUCCUAUAAUCUCUAAUUAAAAGUUAUAAACUGUUUGGAUUAAUAAAAAGCUUAUUUUACUUCUCAGUACUAUCUAAAAAGUCCAUGUAAAGUAUAUUUUGCAGCUACAGAGCAAAUCCUGUGUUUAUUAUGACAUGUGAAUGCUAUAAAGCGCAACAGACCUUUGUCAUUUUUUUCUAAAGAUGCAUGUUGUUUCACUCAGGGUCUGUUUUGUGGAUAUCAUAUAAGUGAUCAAAUAAAUUGUUGUUUUCCUCCACCUCCUCAUCCUCAUCCUCUUUUUCUUCCUUUGGUUUUCUUCUUCCCAGAUGCAGCCGCUCUGUUAUUUAGUUUUUACUUUCCUGUGCAGUGUCUCUUUCCUCUCUCCUGUGCUUUCCAUGCACUGCAAUAAAACACAAUAUGCAUGGCCAGUGGACCGACCCUGGUUCUGCUGUAACAUGUGCCCACCAGGUACCGUGCUACUGCUUCUUUUUGUCUUGAUAGAUUCCAAAAUGUCAUUACAAACAGGUCAUAUUAUUGUAUUAUUCCAGGUAAACGUAUGGUGCGAACGCGUCCAUCCAGCUCUUGUGAAAUUGAGUGUGAACUCUGCAUCGGUGACCGAUACAUUGAUACCUACAACGACAAGCUGAACUGCAAAAUAUGCAAAAACUGUUUGAAACCAAACAUGGAGUAUAGGUUGCACUGUAACGCCACUCAUAACGCUGUGUGCACAUGUAAAGCUAACUACAGAUGCAAAGACCAAUCCUGUGAACAAUGUGUGCCGAUACCAUCCACCACCACCAAAUCCACCUUCCCUCCAUCCACUCCAGUCUUGAAACCAGGAGCCCUCACAACGGUCCGGACACCUUCUCAACCAAUCAGAGAUACGGUGUGGUUCGUGGUGAUUAUCACCCUCCUGUGUGCAGGAAUCACAAUCGCUGUUGUAACAAAAAUCAAGCCCUUUAUGUUCUGGAUCAAAUCCAAACACGGCUACCGUUUGGCUCGAGACUCUCCAUCGGUGCCAUCAGGCUCCGAAGAAGUAUCCACGCCUGUCCAGGAAGUGCUUGGGAAAUGUGAAGUAUGAGCAAGGACUUGACAGGCAAACAUCUCCCGUUGCUUUGGACAUUGAUGACGAAUGGGGCCAACGUUACUCGGCCCCGUGCUGACGAACGCAACCACGGGAAACUUUUGUCUCACGACAUCUGUGAUAUUAAGAUGAUACAAGUGUAUGAAAACACAGAUUAAGAAUCUGAAAGACAAUGAACAUACCGAAUGGGAGGGGUUGUAUUGGACUUGCAGGGGUUUGAGACUGUGCAGUAUGUUUCUAAAUGCAGAUGAAACUGUCUCUGCAGGGCAGUGAGAUCCAUUUACAGUUUGCAAAAGCCAGAGAUGGAUCUACACUGAGAGAUGGAUGCUGGGAGAAGAUGUGGGAGACAAUUGCAGGAUCUUGUUUCUCGUCUUCUUCACUACUCACUUCUUCGGUUAUCUUCCCACAUUCAAUUGUCGGUCCAACUUGGCCUGUAAACUGACUGAGCAAGAUGAGGAGGACCGUCCCUGGAUUGUGGACAUGGACUGGACCUACAGAGACCAGAACAGACCAAGAGUGCACUUAAAGGAAGGUUUUAAUUUACCUGUAAAGGUACAUUAAAUUAUAGUUUACUAAGUCACAACUCAAGACUCAUUACAGUAACACAACUGCAUCUUUUACAUGUUUAUGUUUUAUUUUCUUAAUGACGCCACAUAGUGAGCCAAGUAUUUCACAUGAAAGUCUUCAUUUCACUCAUCGGUACCCAGAUUGGCUGCUGACAGGAACGGUGCUUUGCACUGAGUGAGUCUCUGGGGUGCUGAUGAGUUGAGUUGGUUGUCUUGUGAGAAGCAUCUCUUUCUCCCUAAAGAAGAACGUGUCCAUCAGUGUGGUGCAAACAAAAGAGGAAUACAUUAUAUGGUAAAGGUUGGAAAUUAGCUA